ACCUGGCUGGCUUAGUCAGUAGAGCAUGUGACUCUUGAUCUCAGGGUUGUGAGUUCAAACCCCAUGUUAGGCA
rnacentral:tRNA from 1 species